rnacentral:rRNA from 1 species
AGCGAACGCUGGCGGCAGGCUUAACACAUGCAAGUCGAGCGGGCGUAGCAAUACGUCAGCGGCAGACGGGUGAGUAACGCGUGGGAACAUACCUCUUGGUUCGGAACAACACAGGGAAACUUGUGCUAAUACCGGAUAAGCCCUUACGGGGAAAGAUUUAUCGCCGAGAGAUUGGCCCGCGUCUGAUUAGCUAGUUGGUAGGGUAAUGGCCUWCCAAGGCGACGAUCAGUAGCUGGUCUGAGAGGAUGAUCAGCCACAUUGGGASUGAGACACGGCCCAAACUCCUACGGGAGGCAGCAGUGGGGAAUAUUGGACAAUGGGGGCAACCCUGAUCCAGCCAUGCCGCGUGAGUGAUGAAGGCCCUAGGGUUGUAAAGCUCUUUUGUGCGGGAAGAUAAUGACGGUG